rnacentral:rRNA from 1 species
AGGACGAACGCUGGCGCGUGCUUAACGACGAUGCAAGUCGAGCGGAAAGGCCCUUCGGGGUACUCGAGCGGCGAACGGGUGAGUAACACGUGAGCAACCUGCCCUUAGCUUCGGGAUAGCUCCGGGAAACCGGAAUUAAUACCGAAUAUGACUGCGGCUGACAUCAGCCACAGUGGAAAGUUUUUCGGCUAGGGAUGGACUCGCGGCCUAUCAGCUAGUUGGUGAGGUAACGGCCCACCAAGGCGACGACGGGUAGCCGG